UACGUAGGGUGCGAGCGUUAAUCGGAAUUAUUGGGCGUAAAGGGCGCGUAGGCGGCCUGAUAAGUCAAAGGUGAAAUCCCUCGGCUCAACUGAGGAAUUGCCUUUGAAACUGUCAGGCUUGAGGCCGGGAGGGGGUGGCGGAAUUCCCAGUGUAGCGGUGAAAUGCGUAGAUAUUGGGAGGAACACCAGUGGCGAAGGCGGCCACCUGGACCAACACUGACACUGAGGCACGAAAGCGUGGGGAGCAAACAGG
rnacentral:rRNA from 1 species